UGGCUAUGUGAUAUCUUUCAGUAAUUGCAAGUACUCCCAGAUCUGUGUUCAGUGUCUUCGGUGUACUUCUAAGUUGUUUAUUACUGUGGGGUGUUUUGAUGAGUAAAUAUAACAAUAAACCCUUUACAACGGAUUUUUACAGCAUUUUUUUUUCGUUAUGUUGUAAUACGACUAUCAAAGGUUUAGGCGCCAGAAACGAUUUUAACCCCGCCACAUGCUGCAUAUAUGUCUGUUAUAUGGUGCAUAAUAGGCUUAUCAUUAGCUUCG
rnacentral:lncRNA from 1 species